rfam:Gossypium raimondii Chr07_contig_1437, whole genome shotgun sequence.
UGUUAAAAAUUUCAUCCAUUUUUACUAUUAAAAACUAGCGUAGCUGAAGAAAUAACCAAAUAGUUACAUUUGUACAUUAUGUUGAUGUACAAGGACCAUCUUUUAACAGUAGAGAUGAAUGUAAUUUUUAAAA